rnacentral:lncRNA from 1 species
CUAGAUAGAUGACUUGGGCUGGAGUCUAGAUCGUUGCAGCACAUAUCGGGUAAAGGAUCACUAGAUGUUGGAUAAUUGUUAGAAUUUAUGCUUUACAGAAUAUAAUAAUUGAAAGUAGGUUUCAUUUCUUGUAGGCAGAUUAACGUGGCCAAAUCAUCAACGGGGCGAUCUCGAGAAUUUUGAGGCUCUAGACAAUUAAUUUUUUU